GCCUUGGUGAUACAGGACAGAGGUGCCCGUGCAGGUUGUGCCUGUGGCUGGGUCCCCAGGGAGAAGGUGGCAACCCCAGGCCAGCAGCCUCCUACCCUGAACUCCAGGCAACAUCGUCGGCCCCCUGGCACUGCACCUGCACUGUGGGCAGAGAAGGAGGGAAGGCUGGGAGAGGAGGAGGAGGUCGAAUGUCGCUGGAGGUCGGCGUCCUUCUGCAGCCGUGGGUGAGCCGCUGCUUGGGGUGAGCAUGCUUCCUGCUGGAUGCUUCUCUAUGUAAGCACCUGCCUGAGUGUCAGCCCUCUUAAGGUGAACCGCUCCGUGUCAUUCGUACAUUCACAAGUUUGUGCCGCCAUCAUCGUGAUCGGAUUCCAAAACAUUUUCAUCACCUCCAAGAAAGCCUUGUACCUGGCAGCAGUCACUGUCUCUAUGGAUUUGCUUAUUCUGGACAUUUCAUAAAAAUAGAAUCAAACAGCAUUU
rnacentral:lncRNA from 10 species